GGUCCCGUGUGGCUCAGUUGGUAGAGCAUGGUGCUUACCACGCCAGGGUUGUGGGUUCAAUCCCCACGGGGGAGGGACCA